CGAUCGAACCGCGGGAGCUCGGGCCUGACCGGGCUGAGAGGGCGGCUGACACGGCGCCGCCGACCGCCUGAACCUGUCCGGGUAAUACCGGCGUAGGGAGUGUGCGAUGACGUCUGG
rnacentral:ncRNA from 2 species